GCGCAAUGGCCUGUCCAUGGUGGAAGGCUAAAAUUUCUCGCUGAUUUCAGGAGCUUUUAUUUAUGCGUA
rnacentral:sRNA from 1 species